UUAGUUUCAACGCGGCGCCAUUGUUCAUCGGCAGUAUGGUCUGAACUGAACCUUUGCCGAAUGUCUUUUCACCCAUGAUCACGGCUCGCUUGCGGUCCUGCAACGCCCCCGCAACGAUUUCGGAAGCAGACGCCGACCCACUGUUCACCAGCACCACGAUAGGCGCCCCAACGAGAAUGUCCUUUGGUGUGGCGCUGUAGGUAACCUCGGAGUCUUUCGUUCGCCCGCGCGUCGUCACGAUGACCCCUUGGCGAAGAAACAGGUCACUGACUGCAACCGCACCGUCCAGCACACCGCCGGGAUUGUUGCGC
rnacentral:ncRNA from 1 species